rnacentral:tRNA from 1 species
GAGGAUGUAGCUUAGUGGUAGAGCGCAUGCUUUGCAUGUAUGAGGCCCCGGGUUCAGUCCCUGGCAUUGACA